rnacentral:rRNA from 1 species
AUGAACGCUGGCGACGUGCCUAAUACAUGCAAGUAGAACGCUGAAGCUUGGUGCUUGCACCGAGCGGAUGAGUUGCGAACGGGUGAGUAACGCGUAGGUAACCUGCCUCUUAGCGGGGGAUAAAUAUUGGAAACGAUAGCUAAUACCGCAUAAAAGUCGAUAUCGCAUGAUAUUGAUUUGAAAGGUGCAAUUGCAUCACUAAGAGAUGGACCUGCGUUGUAUUAGCUAGUUGGUGAGGUAACGGCUCACCAAGGCGACGAUACAUAGCCGACCUGAGAGGGUGAUCGGCCACACUGGGACUGAGACACGGCCCAGACUCCUACGGGAGGCAGCAGUAGGGAAUCUUCGGCAAUGGGGGCAACCCUGACCGAGCAACGCCGCGUGAGUGAAGAAGGUUUUCGGAUCGUAAAGCUCUGUUGUAAGAGAAGAACGAGUGUGAGAGUGGAAAGUUCACACUGUGACGGUAACUUACCAGAAAGGGACGGCUAACUACGUG